CCGCGCCUACGGGGGGCAGCAGUGGGGAAUAUUGCACAAUGGGGGAAACCCUGAUGCAGCGACGCCGCGUGAGUGAAGAAGUAUUUCGGUAUGUAAAGCUCUCUCAGCAGGGAAGAAGUUGACGGUACCUGAGUAAGAAGCCCCGGCUAACUACGUGCCAGCAGCCGCGGUAAUACGUAGGGGGCAAGCGUUAUCCGGAUUUACUGGGUGUAAAGGGAGCGUAGACGGCAGUGCAAGUCUGAAGUGAAAGCCCCGGGCUUACCCCGGGAACUGCUUUGGAAACUGUACGGC
rnacentral:rRNA from 1 species